rnacentral:rRNA from 1 species
UGGGGAAUCUUGCGCAAUGGGCGAAAGCCUGACGCAGCAACGCCGCGUGCGGGAUGAAGGCCCUCUGGGCUGUAAACCGCUUUCAGCAGGAACGAAACUGACGGUACCUGCAGAAGAAGGAGCGGCCAACUACGUGCCAGCAGCCGCGGUGACACGUAGGCUCCAAGCGUUGUCCGGAUUUAUUGGGCGUAAAGAGCUCGUAGGCGGUUGAGUAAGUCGGGUGUGAAACCUCUGGGCUUAACCCGGAGACGCCACUCGAUACUGCUCUGACUUGAGUUCAGGAGGGGAGCGGGGAAUUCCCGGUGUAGCGGUGAAAUGCGCAGAUAUCGGGAGGAACACCAGUGGCGAAGGCGCCGCUCUGGACUGACACUGACGCUGAGGAGCGAAAGCGUGGGUAGCA